UACAGAGACUGCAAGCGUUAUUCGGAUUCACUGGGCGUAAAGGGUGCGCAGGCGGUUGUGUGUGUCAGGGGUGAAAGCCCGGGGCUUAACCCCGGAAUUGCGCCUGAAACUACAUGACUAGAGCAUUGGAGAGGGUAGCGGAAUUCACGGUGUAGCAGUGAAAUGCGUAGAUAUCGUGAGGAACACCAGAGGCGAAGGCGGCUACCUGGACAAUUGCUGACGCUCAGGCACGAAAGCGUGGGGAGCAAACAGG
rnacentral:rRNA from 1 species